rnacentral:rRNA from 1 species
GUGGUGUAGCGGUGAAAUGUUUAGAUAUCACGAAGAACUCCGAUUGCGAAGGCAGCCUGCUAAGCUGCAACUGACAUUGAGGCUCGAAAGUGUGGGUAUCAAACAGGAUUAGAUACCAUGGUAGUCCACACGGUAAACGAUGAAUACUCGCUGUUUGCGAUAUACUGCAAGCGGCCAAGCGAAAGCGUUAAGUAUUCCACCUGGGGAGUACGCCGGCAACGGUGAAACUCAAAGGAAUUGACGGGGGCCCGCACAAGCGGAGGAACAUGUGGUUUAAUUCGAUGAUACGCGAGGAACCUUACCCGGGCUUAAAUUGCAGAUGAAUUACGGUGAAAGCCGUAAGCCGCAAGGCAUCUGUGAAGGUGCUGCAUGGUUGUCGUCAGUUCGUGCCGUGAGGUGUCGGCUUAAGUGCCAUAACGAGCGCAACCCUUGUUGUCAGUUACUAACAGGUUCUGCUGAGGACUCUGACAAGACUGCCAUCGUAAGAUGUGAGGAAGGUGGGGAUGACGUCAAAUCAGCACGGCCCUUACGUCCGGGGCUACACACGUGUUACAAUGGGGGGUACAGAGGGCCGCUACCACGCGAGUGGAUGCCAAUCCCAAAAACCUCUCUCAGUUCGGACUGGAGUCUGCAACCCGACUCCACGAAGCUGGAUUCGCUAGUAAUCGCGCAUCAGCCACGGCGCGGUGAAUACGUUCCCGGGCCUUGUACACACCGCCCGUCAAGCCAUGGGAGCCGGGGGUACCUGAAGUGCGUAACCGCGAGGAGCGCCCUAGGGUAAAACUGGUGAC